GGGAUUGUGGCUCAGUGGUAGAGUGCUUGCCUAGCAUAUAUGAGGCCCUGGGUUCAAUCCUCAGCACCA
rnacentral:tRNA from 1 species